rfam:Triticum aestivum genome assembly, contig: Triticum_aestivum_CS42_TGACv1_scaffold_251275_3DL
AUAAUACUCCCUCCGUCCUAAAAUUCUUGUCUUAGAUUUGUCUAAAUACGGAUGUAUCAAGUCAUGUUUUAGUAUUAGAUACAUCCGUAUCUAGACAAAGAUACAUCCGUAUCUAGACGAAUCUAAGACAAGAAUUUUGGGACGGAGGGAGUACUAG